rnacentral:rRNA from 1 species
UUUAUGGAGAGUUUGAUCCUGGCUCAGGAUGAACGCUGGCGGCGUGCCUAAUACAUGCAAGUCGAGCGAACGGACGAGAAGCUUGCUUCUCUGAUGUUAGCGGCGGACGGGUGAGUAACACGUGGAUAACCUACCUAUAAGACUGGGAUAACUUCGGGAAACCGGAGCUAAUACCGGAUAAUAUUUUGAACCGCAUGGUUCAAAAGUGAAAGACGGUCUUGCUGUCACUUAUAGAUGGAUCCGCGCUGCAUUAGCUAGUUGGUAAGGUAACGGCUUACCAAGGCAACGAUGCAUAGCCGACCUGAGAGGGUGAUCGGCCACACUGGAACUGAGACACGGUCCAGACUCCUACGGGAGGCAGCAGUAGGGAAUCUUCCGCAAUGGGCGAAAGCCUGACGGAGCAACGCCGCGUGAGUGAUGAAGGUCUUCGGAUCGUAAAACUCUGUUAUUAGGGAAGAACAUAUGUGUAAGUAACUGUGCACAUCUUGACGGUACCUAAUCAGAAAGCCACGGCUAACUACGUGCCAGCAGCCGCGGUAAUACGUAGGUGGCAAGCGUUAUCCGGAAUUAUUGGGCGUAAAGCGCGCGUAGGCGGUUUUUUAAGUCUGAUGUGAAAGCCCACGGCUCAACCGUGGAGGGUCAUUGGAAACUGGAAAACUUGAGUGCAGAAGAGGAAAGUGGAAUUCCAUGUGUAGCGGUGAAAUGCGCAGAGAUAUGGAGGAACACCAGUGGCGAAGGCGACUUUCUGGUCUGUAACUGACGCUGAUGUGCGAAAGCGUGGGGAUCAAACAGGAUUAGAUACCCUGGUAGUCCACGCCGUAAACGAUGAGUGCUAAGUGUUAGGGUUUCCGCCCCUUAGUGCUGCAGCUAACGCAUUAAGCACUCCGCCUGGGGAGUACGACCGCAAGGUUGAAACUCAAAGGAAUUGACGGGGACCCGCACAAGCGGUGGAGCAUGUGGUUUAAUUCGAAGCAACGCGAAGAACCUUACCAAAUCUUGACAUCCUUUGACAACUCUAGAGAUAGAGCUUUCCUUCGGGGACAAAGUGACAGGUGGUGCAUGGUUGUCGUCAGCUCGUGUCGUGAGAUGUUGGGUUAAGUCCCGCAACGAGCGCAACCCUUAAGCUUAGUUGCCAUCAUUAAGUUGGGCACUCUAAGUUGACUGCCGGUGACAAACCGGAGGAAGGUGGGGAUGACGUCAAAUCAUCAUGCCCCUUAUGAUUUGGGCUACACGUGCUACAAUGGACAAUACAAAGGGCAGCGAAACCGCGAGGUCAAGCAAAUCCCAUAAAGUUGUUCUCAGUUCGGAUUGUAGUCUGCAACUCGACUACAUGAAGCUGGAAUCGCUAGUAAUCGUAGAUCAGCAUGCUACGGUGAAUACGUUCCCGGGUCUUGUACACACCGCCCGUCACACCACGAGAGUUUGUAACACCCGAAGCCGGUGGAGUAACCUUUUAGGAGCUAGCCGUCGAAGGUGGGACAAAUGAUUGGGGUGAAGUCGUAACAAGGUAGCCGUAUCGGAAGGUGCGGCUGGAUCACCUCCUUC